rnacentral:rRNA from 1 species
GAUGAACGCUGGCGGCGUGCCUAAUACAUGCAAGUCGAGCGAACGGACGAUAAGCUUGCUUCUCUGAUGUUAGCGGCGGACGGGUGAGUCACACGUGUAUAACCUACCUAUAAGACUGGGAUAACUUCGGGAAACCGGCGCUAAUACCGGAUAAUAUUUUGAACCGCAUGGUUCAAAAGUGAAAGACGGUCUUGCUGUCACUUAUAGCUGGAUCCGCGCUGCAUUAGCUAGUUGGUAAGUUCACGGCUUACCACGGCAACGAUGCAUAGCCGACCUGAGAGGGUGAUCGGCCACACGGGAACGGAGACACGGUCCAGGCGCCUACGGGAGGCAGCAGUAGGGAAUCUGCCGCAAUGGGCGAAAGCCUGACGGAGCAACGCCGCGUGAGUGAUGAAGGUCUUCGGAUCGGAAAACUCUGUUAUGAGGGAAGAACAUAUGUGUAAGUAACUGUGCACAUCUUGACGGUACCGAAUCAGAAAGCCACGGCUAACUACGUG